rnacentral:rRNA from 1 species
AUCGAACGCUGGCGGCAGGCCUAACACAUGCAAGUCGAACGAGUGGCGGACGGGUGAGUAAUGUCUGGGAAACUGCCUGGUGGAGGGGGAUAACUACUGGAAACGGUAGCUAAUACCGCAUACCAUCGGAUGUGCCCAGAUGGGAUUAGCUAGUAGGUGGGGUAAAGGCUCACCAAGGCGACGAUCCCUAGCUGGUCUGAGAGGAUGACCGGCCACACUGGGACUGAGACACGGUCCAGACUCCUACGGGAGGCAGCAGUGGGGAAUCUUGCACAAUGGGCGCAAGCCUGAUGCAGCCAUGCCGCGUGUAUGAAGAAGGCCUUCGGGUUGUAAAGUACUUUCAGCGGGGAGGCGUUACCCGCAGAGAAAGCACCGGCUAACUCCGUGCCAGCAGCCGCGGUAAUUC